rnacentral:rRNA from 1 species
CCUACGGGAGGCUGCAGUGAGGAAUAUUGCACAAUGGGGGAGACCCUGAUGCAGCGACGCAGCGUGAAUGAAGAAGGAUUUCGGUGUGUUAAGCUCUAUCAACAGGGGAGAAAAUGACGGUACCUGAUUAAGAAGCCCCGGAUAACUACGUGCCAGCAGCCGCGGUAAUACGUAGGGGGCAAGCGUUAUCCGGAUUUACUGAGUGUAAAGGGAGCGUAGAGGGGAGCAAAAGUCUGGAGUGAAAUGCCGGGGCUUAACCCCGAAAUUGCGUUUGAAACUGUACAGCUAGAGUGCAGGAGAGGUAAGUGGAAUUCGUAGUGUAGCGGUGAAAUGCGUAGAUAUUAGGAGGAACACCAGUGGCGAAGGCGGCCUACUGAACUGCCACUGACGUUGAGGCUCGAAAGCGUGGGGAGCAAACAGGAUUAGAUACCCGAGUAGUC